rnacentral:misc_RNA from 1 species
GAAAUGCGAUAAGUAGUGUGAAUUGCAGAAUUCAGUGAAUCAUCGAAUCUUUGAACGCACAUUGCGCCCUCUGGCAUUCCGGGGGGCAUGCCUGUCCGAGCGUCAUUACGCACCCUCAAGCCCGGCUUGUGUGAUGGGCCCUGGCGUCUCGUUCGCGAGACGGGCCCGAAAGGCAGCGGCGGCGUCGACCCGAUGAGCCCGAGCGUAUGGGGACUUUUGUCACACGUUUGCGGUGCGGACCGGCGCCUGCUUGACUUUUCUGAUUAUCCAGGUUGACCUCGGAUCAGGUAGGGAUACCCGCUGAACUUAAGC